CGUAGGGUGCGAGCGUUAAUCGGAAUUACUGGGCGUAAAGCGUGCGCAGGCGGUUUUGUAAGACAGGCGUGAAAUCCCCGGGCUCAACCUGGGAACUGCGUUUGUGACUGCAAGGCUAGAGUAUGGCAGAGGGGGGUGAAUUCCACGUGUAGCAGUGAAAUGCGUAGAGAUGUGGAGGAACACCGAUGGCGAAGGCAGCCCCCUGGGCCAAUACUGACGCUCAUGCACGAAAGCGUGGGUAGCAAACAGGAUUAGAUACCCUGGUAGUCCACGCCCUAAACGAUGUCAACUAGGUGUUGGGUGGGUAAAACCAUUUAGUACCGGAGCUAACGCGUGAAGCUGACCGCCUGGGGAGUACGGCCGCAAGGUUAA
rnacentral:rRNA from 1 species